rnacentral:tRNA from 1 species
GAUAAGAUGGCUGAAGUUUUUAGGCGAUAAAUUGUAAAUUUAUUUAUGGAUUUUUCCUCUUAUCA